GAUGAAUAACGUAGCGAAAUGCGAUAAGUAAUGUGAAUUGCAGAAUUCAGUGAAUCAUCGAAUCUUUGAACGCACAUUGCGCCCGCCAGUAUUCUGGCGGGCAUGCCUGUCUGAGCGUCAUUUCAACCCUUAAGCCUAGCUUAGUGUUGGGAAUCUGCUGUAUUGCAGUUCCUCAAAUACAACGGCGGAUCUGUAACAUCCUCUGAGCGUAGUAAAUUUUUAUCUCGCUUUUGUUAGGUGUUGCAGCUCUCAGCCGCUAAACCCCCCAAUUUUUGUGGUUGACCUCGGAUCAGGUAGGAAUACCCGCUGAACUUAAGCAUAUCAAUAAGCGGAGGA
rnacentral:misc_RNA from 1 species